rnacentral:rRNA from 1 species
CUUGGUCAUUUAGAGGAAGUAAAAGUCGUAACAAGGUUUCCGUAGGUGAACCUGCGGAAGGAUCAUUAUCGAGUUUUGAACGGGUUGUCUGCUGGCUCGCAAGGGCAUGUGCACGCCUGUCUCAUCCACUCUCAACUUCUGUGCACUUUUCAUAGGCCGGCUUGUGGGUGCGUUCGCGCACUUGUAGGUGUCGGGCUUAUGCUUUAUUACAAACGAUUCAGUUUUAGAAUGUCAUACUUUGCUAUAACGCAAUUUAUAUACAACUUUCAGCAACGGAUCUCUUGGCUCUCGCAUCGAUGAAGAACGCAGCGAAAUGCGAUAAGUAAUGUGAAUUGCAGAAUUCAGUGAAUCAUCGAAUCUUUGAACGCACCUUGCGCUCCUUGGUAUUCCGAGGAGCAUGCCUGUUUGAGUCUCAUGGAAUUCUCAACCUUCAGCUUUAUUGAUGAAGGCUUGGACUUGGAGGUUGUGCCGGCUCUCGUAGUCGGCUCCUCUGAAAUGCAUUAGUGCGAACGUUACCAGCCGCUUCAGCGUGAUAAUUAUCUGCGUUGCUGUGGAGGGUAUUCUAGUGUUCACGCUUCUAACCGUCUUCGGACAAAUUUCUGAACUCUGAGCUCAAAUCAGGUAGGACUACCCGCUGAACUUAAGCAUAUCAAUAAGCGGAGGA